rnacentral:tRNA from 1 species
UUAAAAUAGUUUAAUUAAAAUAUUAGUUUGUGGGACUAAAGAUUAAUUUAUUUGUUUUAAUU